rnacentral:misc_RNA from 1 species
GUGAAUCAUCAAAUUUUUGAACGCAAAUUGCACUCUCUUCGGUGAGUAUGCCUGUUUGAGGGUCAGUAUUAAUAAAAAUUGGUAUGUUACUUUUUUGUGACGCUCUGGAGUUUGGGUCCUCUUAAUAUUGUUUAGGUUUUUAGAGGCUUAAAAUUGACUUUUUUUGUGCAGUUUAGAUGUACUGAAAUUCUUUUUUUAUUCGUAUGUCUUAAUACUCAAAAUCCUAUUAGAUGUGGCCAUAGUGUGUGGUCUCGUGUGUAUAAAUUUUUCAUGAUU